rnacentral:lncRNA from 1 species
GCAGCCUGAACGGAGCCAAUCGCUGGUAUGACAAGUCCCUGCAGUUCGUGGUGGGCCGAGAUGGCACCUGCGGUGUGGUGUGUGAGCAUUCUCCAUUUGAUGGCAUCGUCCUGGUGCAGUGCACAGAGCACCUGCUGAAACAUAUGAUGACAAGCAACAAGAAGCUCGUCAGGGCUGACUCAGUGAGUGAGCUCCCUGCCCCCAGAAGGCUGAGGUGGAAAUGUUCCCCAGAAACCCAAGGCCAUCUCGCCUCCUCAGCAGAGAAACUUCAAAGAAUAGUAAAGAAUCUGGAUUUCAUUGUUUACAAGUUUGACAACUAUGGAAAAACAUUUAUC